rnacentral:lncRNA from 1 species
CUUCAUUUACUUCGUCUCCAGUUCCAGUCUUCAAGCGGAGGUCGGUUUUCUUUGAUAAACAGCAUUUGAUUAUGUAAUAUAUUCGCACUCUUUCUGGUUAGUAUUGAUUAAUUAUAUGCAUUAGUUUAGAUAAUUUGGACCUUGCGCUUUAAUGGCAUCUCAGUAUACUGAAUUUUUCAAUCUGCAUAUUUCUAAUUGUAUCUAGCACCUGUUUGAUUAGAUGAAUUUCCAUUGAUCUUGUUAGAUGUUCGCUGAAGGGCUUUGUUUUUUAAGUAAUCUACAUCCGUGACAAUUCGCAUAAAGCUUCUAGUGUCUCCAUACAAUAUCUUAGGGUUUUCAAAAUGCGUAUGAGAAAUCAAUGGAUGAAUAAACUGAACAACCUAAAUUAUAUACAACAAUUAUUUACAGAAUACUGAAUUCUCUCAGAUUUCUUAGAAAAUUCUCUCCGACAACAGAUCCAUCUUUGACAAAAAUUGCUGGAUACCCAAUCGGAGCUUCUAUCAAAGCUUCUGAACCUUUUAUGUCGUAUAAAUCUCCUGUCCAUAUAUGUUUCCAAACACAACUUUCUCCUACAGGAAAGUACGCUUUGACAUUUUUCCUGUGUUUAUCAAGAGUAGGCACCACUAGAAUCUCCUCCCCAACUAGAAACUGCUCAUACGUCAAGCUAUGUACAUGAUCAUCAUUAGGGUAAUGUAGAAACAGGUGACGACAAACUGGAAGACCUUUUUCACUUGCUUCCUGUAUUAUAAACAAAACACUUCAGAUCAAUUUGCCUAUUUCUAUGUAUGCAAAAUGAUUUCUAGUAUUUUAUGUCACCUUCACGAGUUGGACUCUGUAAAAUUUCCAUGCUUUGUAGACUUUAGCAAAGCGUGCGAAAUGUGUUAAUGUCUUUUGAUUUGAAUAGAACUGGCUAUUAACAGAUGGUUUGUUCCCCUAAUCAAAAUAAGAACAUAAAAUUAAGAACACAAAUAAAUGGUAUUGGUAGCUAAAUGAAAUAACUUACUUCAUGUGUUCUGAAUAUGGUAGUGAAUGCAUUUAACUCCAUCCAUCUUAAUAGCAACUCUUCAUCUCUUCGAUACUUGAAAAAGGGCAAAUUUACACCACAAUACCCUCCAAUAUCACUAUGAUUAAACGCAUAUCCACAAAGCCCACUACUUAGCAACCCAACAACAGCACUUUUUAUUCCAUCAUUAGCUUGCCAACUCACCAUUUGAUCCCCUUCCCAAAAUAGCAUUGCCCAUUUUGGACUAUUUCUAAAACCAGAUCUCAUAAAGAAAACUAAAGAUUCUGAAGGGUCUUCUUUCUCCUUUCCAAUAAGUUUACUCUUCCAUUCUUCUGUAAACUCCCGGUUUAUUUGAGCCCAUAACUCAGGGUAUCUAUUAUGAGCAGAAAUCGGAUCUUCACCUGAGUAAAUACACGCAUCAACAGGAAGCCCUUCACCAAAAUCAGCCAUCCAUCCCCUAACACCAUCAUCCACCAUUUCAUGUAAAAUCUUCUUAAACCAAGUUGCAGUAUGAGGAUGUGUCAAAUCCAACAUUCCCACAUCAAAAGCUGUAUUGGGAACCAUGUAUGCUUCUCCAUUCUUGUCUUUCACUAAAAUGUCCAACUUUUUCGCCUCUUCAAAUAGGUUUCUUCUUGCAUCCACCUUUCUAUCCAUCUAAUAUACAUCAAAUUGAAAUCUUUAAAACACAUGAAAAUACACUCGAAUUGUUUUUUGACAAAGAAAAUGAUUUACUUACUGGAGCUAGACAAGGAUUGCAAUAUGUCAUGACUUUAAUAUGUCUCACACUGAGAUCCCUAAUAAGUUCUUUCCAUCCUUGAUACCUUGUUUCAUCCACUUCCCAAUUCCACCAUAGCUGUGAUCCAAUCACUGUCUUCCUCUCCCCUACCCAAUCCUACAAAAUGCCAUAAUUCAAAUCGAUUUUACUAAAAUGUCUUCAAAUGGAAAUGAAGAGGAUGAAAAUGAAAGACUACCUGUAACCAAAAUGCUGAUAUUGGAACAUCAUAAGCCACAAGUUCUUCCCAAACAUUCUUUACUGAAUUUGUUCCACCUUGCAUUCCCACAAUUGCUCCUGAUAUAAUCCAAUCAGGAAGAACAGGUGGUCUACCUAUGGAUUCGGUGAAUUGUUCAAUCAGCUCAGAAGGCGAGUUUCCAUAUAAUAUCCUACCUUCCACACUAUCGCCAUGUAUCUGCACAAAUUUCAUCAAAUUGUUAGUUUGAAAAGUAAUUGGUUUGACUUUGACCUCAAAGUCAAAAUAGAGAGAAAAGUCACUCACAUGUAUCUGAACACUAUCGUCAUGUGUUAGAUCAAAGACUGAAUAAUCGUAACCUUCAAGGUAAAGAGAUCUCAUCUUUGAUGUCAUGUAAAAUGGUGAAGGUGCAUAUGUUGUACUCCAAUCUCCUCCAGCUCUGUAUAAUCACAUCAUAACAAUGUAUUUUGACUAUUUUCAUUUCUUUGAUGUAUAUAAAUUAUAAUUAAAAAAAAAAAAAAAAAAAAAAAAAAAAAAAAAAAAAAGAAUGAAACUACAUUUAUUACCUGUAGCUAACAAGAUUAGCAGCAAAUGUAAUUGGUUGAUCACCUCUCCCAAUCCCUUGUUCUUGAACAAAAAUCGGGACUUUUCUUCCUUUAAAAUCCAUAUGAGAAAAUUGUUCUCCAAAUCCAAAAAAUCUUUCAUUUCUUUCACUCGAAUAUGUAACACAAAUCCUAUUAAAAAAUCCAAAUCCUAAACCAUUUUUUUCUUUCAUUGCAACAUUUUCCUCUUCAUUACUCGAAUCUGUAACCACUUGGUGUCUUCUCCUCCCGCAUAACCGAAUUCGAAUUCUUCGAGGUCGGGUCAAUUUACGAAAAUGCCCCCGGUAAAUUUUCGGUGAAAGUUUUACAUUUACAAAGUUGGGUUUUCCGAGUUUCACUUGGAACCCAAUCUGAUUACUGUUCUUUUGAUCAAAUAAAAUGAAAUAAUUCACAUAGCUACAAACAUCUUUUUCUACAGAUUCCCAUUUUUGUAACAAUGGCUUCUUGUUCUUCUUCAUGCCAAAAACCCUACCUGUUAUUAACAGAACCGGGGAUUCGGAUUGAAAUUCGAGAAACCCGGAUUCGAAUUCGAAUUCGGUUUGACUUUUCAACACCUUGAUUUCUUCAAUAGUUUGAUGGUUGCAUAUAAAUUGGACAUUUUUGUCCUUAAUGAUGAAGGAUCCUCUGCUUUCUUCCACCUCUGUUUCUGCCAUGGCAGUGGAGAUGAAUGAUCUACCAGGGACUGUAGACCAAAUGGAUCGUGUGGGAUUGGAUUUAUGAGAAAUGGAAACGCACGCUCCAUUUUCUGAUCUCCAAAUUAAUUCAAAAUCGUUUCCAAUAGGGAAGAUUUGAUGAGGUGGAAGGGUAGUUUGGGAAUUUAAGAAAAGAGUGCCAUGUUUGAAGGGUAAAGAUUUGGGUUUUGAAGGGAAGGGAUUGUUGAGAUGUCUGUUGUGUUUCUUGGUGAUUUUUAGGGACAUUCUUGGAAUUAUGGGUUUUAGAUUCAGAAUUGAUCUUGAAAUGAAUGGAUCCAAAUAUGAGCAUAGAAGAAGCGAGAAGGUUAUGGUGUUGUUGAGUGGCUAACUUUAUAAGAACAGCCAAAUCGACGUUAGACUUUAAGAGUAUAUAUAUAGUUGUCGAUCUAGUCGUAGGAAUUUACCUGUUUGCCCUUGUGGCAGGCUAGUUGUAGGUUUUGUGGAAUUUACCAGUUUGCCCUCAUUGGUGGCUUGUAGGGAAGAAAGAAUUAAAAAUUGGACUUUAUUGUAGAAUCAACGAUAAAGAAAGGAAGUUGAUUGGGCUAUUUGAGCUUUGUAUUAAUGUGGUAUUUAUAGCUUGCACUCUAUUGGAUAUGUACAAAACAUUGAAUUUUAUUUCAGAAAAUUUAAUGUCUCAUUUUAUUUAACUCACUAUCUAGAACAUAAUAAAAAAAAAUCUAGAACAUAAUAAUGUAUUUUUAUUUAUUUUCUUUAUGUAGUAUUUAUUACCUUCUGUUAUUUAGAAAUAAUUUAUAUUUUAUCUUUUUUUCUUAUGGGAAUGUUAUAUUUUGGAAUUUUUAUAUAAUUAUAACGAUGAGACUUGUUUUGUAUUUAGAUGGCCAAUUGAAGUACAGUGAUAUAAAUGAAUAAAAGAUGUAAUAAACCCAUGAAUAAAAGUAUAUCACUAUUUGUUCCAUGUGACUAUAUUCGUACGUAGUAUAUAAAACUAUGAUGUAUUACAAAUAAUAGAGAGAUUAUGCUAUGUCAUUAAAUGAAAUUUUCUUGCUUUAGGCACAACGUAAGUGAAACUGAUAGAUUAUAACCAAUUAUGAUUUAGUAGAAUAUGGCUGCAGAUUGUAUUAAAAAAUAUUUUGUUGUAUAAAAUAUGAAAGAAAAUCCAAUAUUAUUACAUAAACAAGUAUUUAAAUUAAUAAAAUCAAUUCUAAAACCUCUUGUUACUGCUUUUGAAUCGUAUAGGUUGACCACGUGAGAAGAAAUUUGAAAACGCAAUGAUUGACCAUGUCACGUGAUAGGGUGGUUAAGAAGUUUUGCAUCUGGACGCAAUUUUUGGUGUCUAUUGGUAUUGAGAUGUACCUGGAUGCUCAUUGGGCAACACAAUAUAAAAACAAAGCCUUGUUACAUUUUCAUAAAUUAUAAUUAUUUUUUUGAGAAAAU